rnacentral:tRNA from 1 species
GCGGACGUGGCGAAAUUGGCAGACGCGCAGGUUUCAGGUUCCUGUGGGUAACUCCGUAUGGGUUCAAGUCCCUUCGUCCGCACCA